CUUCAACGAGCCGAGCAGGAGGGGCUGUUCACGGUUCUGUCCAUAGGUCGCCAGCAGCGCCUGCGCCUC
rnacentral:antisense_RNA from 1 species